UACGACACGGUCUUGUAUAAAGCCCGGUUUAGCUAUGCGGUUAAAGCUCCGAUUGAAUAGUUUCGGAUCUGAGAGAGAGGGGGGAGAGAGACAGCAAUGCAUCACUGGGUUCGAGCUUCACCCUCCGAUUUUGGUGGACCUCUUCCUACUCCUCGGAGUGGCCACACCGCAGUCAAUAUUGGAAAGUCUAAGAUCAUAGUGUUUGGUGGUCUUGUCGAUAAGAAUUUCCUCGAUGACAUCUCUGUAUACGACAUCGAGAAUAAGUUAUGGUUCCAGCCUCAGUGCACAGGUAGUGGUUCAGAUGGCCAAAUGGGGCCCAGUCCUCGAGCAUUUCAUAUUGCCAUUGCAAUCGACUGCCAUAUGUUUGUUUUUGGUGGGCGACUUGGUACCAAAAGAUUGGGAGACUUUUGGGUCCUAGAUACUGAUAUAUGGCAAUGGUCUGAACUUACCAGCUUUGGUGAUUUACCUUCACCAAGAGAUUUUGCUGCUGCUUCAGCCAUUGGGAACCAUAAAAUAGUAAUGUAUGGUGGAUGGGAUGGUAAAAAGUGGUUAUCAGAUGUAUUUGUCUUGGAUACAAUGUCGUUGGAGUGGAGAGAGUUAGCAGUUACAGGAACAUUGCCACCACCAAGGUGUGGUCAUACAGCCACUAUGGUUGAGAAACGGUUGCUUGUAUAUGGUGGCAGAGGAGGUGGAGGACCAAUCAUGGGUGAUUUAUGGGCUUUAAAGGGUCUCAUUGAAGAAGAUAACGAAGCUCCUGGAUGGACACAGUUAAAGCUGCCCGGGCAAGCUCCAGCUGCCCGAUGCGGGCAUACUGUCACCUCUGGAGGCCACUAUCUUCUCAUGUUUGGAGGCCAUGGAACCGGUGGUUGGUUGAGUCGCUAUGAUGUUUACUACAAUGACUGUGUUGUUUUAGACAGGGUGUCUGUGCAGUGGAAACGCCUUGCAACUAAUACUGAAGCUCCUGCUGCGCGUGCUUACCACUCCAUGACAUGUAUUGGCUCACGUUAUCUCUUAUUUGGUGGCUUUGAUGGAAAACUCACAUUUGGUGAUCUAUGGUGGUUAGUUCCUGAAGAUGAUCCUAUUUCAAAGCGAUCAGAAGUAAUUCAAGAGACCCGGAAUGACUUCCAAUCUGAAACAAAGGAAAACGACAUGGAAGGUUCAGCUAUCUCAGAGCUGCAAAAGAGACUGAAUAUUUCUGUUUCAUUUUCUGGUCAUAAUCUUCAAAUUGUUCAUGAAUCAGAAGAUAAAGAAUUUCUUGAAUUAGCAUCAAGGAUAAAUGGAAAUAAAUCAUUUAAUAAUAAACAGGCUGUUGAUGCACUCCGUGAACAUUGGCAAAAUUCUUCCCCAAAAUCAAUACCUCUGAAGGAGCUUAACCCCUUAUUGCGCGACUACAAACGUCUGAUUACUCGCCAUCACUUAUCAAAGGUUGGAUCAAAUUUACAGUCUGAGAAUGAGAAAGAUGCCUUUCGCUUUUAUCAUAUUACAAAUGCUUCUCAGUUACGCAUGAGCGAUAUACCGAAUCUGUUGACAGAGUACAAACAGCUUCCAUUGGAUUAAAGAAUGAUGUUGAGGGAUCAUCUGUAUAGAAGAAGAAUUAUCCAAAUUGUAUUAUAUAUCAAAGAAGGCGGGCGGGCGGGUGGGCAGUCGGGCAGCCAUACCUUCUUCUGGCAGCUUUGCCCGAGCGAUCUGACCUCACGGUUAGCCACAUCUAUCUUCUUUCGGACCGAUGCUACUUCUUUCCUCAUUGGAUCUGUCAAAACUUCGAGCUCCUGAUACAUUUCAUUUUACAAAAUAAAUAAAAAAUCUUUAACGUAUAAAUAAUGCCAAAAAUAACAUUAGAAGUUUAUUAAAAAAUGUGAUGUUAUAAAGUUUUUGUGGGGCUUACUUCCCAAACUUGAGCUAAGCGUCUGGUUUGUUCUUCA